rnacentral:rRNA from 1 species
UACAGAGGUCCCGAGCGUUGUUCGGAUUCACUGGGCGUAAAGGGUGCGUAGGUGGUGGGGUAAGUUUGAUGUGAAAUCUCCGGGCUUAACCCGGAAACUGCAUUGAAUACUAUUCCGCUGGAGGUUUGGAGGGGGGACUGGAAUUCUCGGUGUAGCAGUGAAAUGCGUAGAUAUCGAGAGGAACACCAGUGGCGAAGGCGAGUCCCUGGACAACAACUGACACUGAGGCACGAAAGCUAGGGGAGCAAACAGG